CGUCUGCCGCCUCACCGCUUGGCCCCGCCCCUCGCCACCUGCCCGGCCAGGCGCGCCGGGGCCGUCCCAGUACGUCGCCCUGUUUACGCUGGCUCUUUCUCCCAGUCUUUUUUCGUUUUAAGAUGUGAGAAGAGAUGGGAUUCUUCAAUCAAGGCCACAAGCGGGAAAUCAGUCUGCAGGACCGAUGCCAGCAGGCUCACGCACCGAGAACGGCUACUCCGCCCAGCUGAGAAGCGCGGGGCCCUGACGCGGGCGCGCUCCUCGCAUUCUUCCGUUGGGCUGGGAGGCUGGAGGGCAGGCGGCGGCGGCCGCGCAUGCGCCGGGAGCGGCCGGAGCUGCGGGACGCGGAGGGCCGACUGCGCCUGCGCGCUGGUUGCCUGGUUACGGCGUGGCCGCGGGCACCGAGCGGCGCCGGAAGUUGGUCGAUGGCUGCCGCCAGUCCCUGGCCAGCGUCCUGGGGUUUCCCCGACGCAUCCUCUACUGUCCCUUCGCUCUGCACAGAGGCCCGGGCAGGGAGGGGCGGCCCGGCCACCGCGCGGAGCCGGGUGUCCGCCGACUCGCAAGGGGGACGCGCGGGCUCCUCGUCCCCAAGCUCCGCCCUGCGCCUUUGCUGCGCCGGGCCCUCCCAGGCCCACCCUGGCCCCAGCCCUGCUGUCCUCCCGGGGAGGUGCGGCCUACUCGGUUCGUUCCCCCGGCCGCCAGCCCCACAGGGGCGCUGGGGUCCCAGCCUUGGCUGAGUGCACGUCGGUGGCGAGUGGGCCCGGGCGCUCGGGCGGCCAGAGCGACCCAGCGGAGGGGUGAGGCGGGUAGGCGCUCCUGUGCCUGCCACGGCCAGGCCAGGCAGCAUCCACGCCCUCCCGCGGAAGAUCGCAGGGAACAGGUGGGCACUAUCCUCUGUGCCCUCAUUUUUCGGAGGAGCCGAGGGAGGCUGAGCGGUUGAGGAAGCGGCCAGCCAUGCCGGGCCCACUCACCUGCACACCUGCCUGGCAAGGGCAGGGAAGAGCCGCGGCCUUCCUCUGCUGCUCCUUCCAGAGGGCAGGCGCCGUGGUGGGGGUGCCCGCCCGAUGGCAUCGCGGGAGGCUGAGCUCCCAGCAGCGGCUGAGGUCCUCCCUGGGUGGGAGCCACCCUUGUCCCCAGCUGGGCCGGCGGCUGGUGAGGGAGGGGGUGAUAUCCGUGCCACGCCAGCAGGGCCGCAGGCGGUGCAGGGAGAGCUUCAGUCCGGCUGACGUGGCACCAGGGCCAAUCUGCUCAGCUAACAUUUGCCUUUCAGGAGUCAGAUUCCUGACCUGUUUGAACAGAGUUAGGGAGCACGUGGUAGGGCCCAGCCCCAGCCCCGCUGCCCCCAUCUGCUUCUUCCCAGUGGUCGAGGCGCUCUGCACCCUCCGCGGAAGGAGGUGUCAUUGUUUGCCCUUUCCAAAGAGGGGGAUGCAGAGGUGGAUGCUGCCUCUCAGGCGUGGGGCUCGCCUUUUGCCGCUCGCGAGUUCAAAGAACCCAAGAGCCAGGAGCCCAGGGCUCGACCCUCUAGGGUCCUCCGAAACCCUGUGGUCCCACCGGGGUGGGCACUAAGCUAUGGGAGAGACCAUAGCUGCAGAAACCAACCCUGCCCUAGGCAUAAAAUGCAAGGUCUCUGGACCUCAGGGCAGGGAUGUUAGACAGCGGCUUCUGUUGGCUCCUAGGGGUGUGAAUCACCACAUCACCUGCAGGGGGCGCGGCUGUCUUUCUUCCCCCUCUUCUCCCUAAUCCUGAGUGCACGGAGACAGCUCUCAGCAGUUUGUAGCCUGAUGUGGAGUGGAGGGUUCCUGCACCCUACACCCGAGCCCAUCCAGCCUCUGGGCCAUAGACCCUUCCGUUGAAGGCCCAGCCUGCCCCUGAGACGCUGUGUGCCCUUUUUCAACUUCCUUAGUCUCUGAGCAUCAGGUCUUCAUCUCUAAGAUAGAGCAAGAUGAGCACCUAAACGUUUCAGGGCUGAAAUGGGGUUGCCAGGACAACAAGCAUGGCAGGGGCGAAUGGGGACAUCAGGUGACUGACUGCGAGCCAGCAGAGGCCUCCACCCAGUGCUGGGAGGUGUCCCGCCGGUGGUGGCCAUCACUAUUCCUGGUGGGGCUUUGCUGCUUUUGCCUGCAGCAUCCGCUGGUUUCUCCAUUCUCCAAGUCUCUGCCCCUGCUCACACCUGGAGGCUGGACACAAGUGUCACCACUUCCCUGAACCCCCCUAGGUGGGCUGGAAUCAGCAUCUGGUGCAAAGCUCUGUGACCACUGCUGUACCACAUUAUGCAGAGCACACAGGACAGGCUGGUGCACCUCCAGGCUGUGCCAGGAAACCCGCUGCCUUUGCGUCACCACAGCCUUGGUCACAGCGUGACCUUGGUGCCUCCGACGGGUCAGCUCCUCCCAUUAGCCAUGCUGUCCAGCACGGGGGCCGCUGGUGCUUGCUGUGAGACUGAGCUGGGCUCUGAGUGUAAACUACAUGGUAGGUUGUGAAGGAUGCAAAUAUCGAAUCAAUCAUUUUUUAUUGCAUAUUAAAAUGACAAUAUCUUGGAUGUAUCAGAUUAAACAAAAUACUAUUUAAUUUUA
ensembl:lncRNA C9orf163 chromosome 9 putative open reading frame 163